ACACAAAAACUUUUCUCUCUCCCUGACACAUACCUCAAUUUUCGCCAUCUCUUCCUUCCACGUCUUUUCCCACCGCCAAGUCGCCGUUCACUGGAUUUGCUCCACCGCCAAGUCACCGGCCGCGUAUCUCCCACCACCACCACGUUCUCUGCUCCUCUCAUCGAGAUGUCGUGGAUCGAUUGAGCUACGAAUUAAAGAACAUUGAAGUGGUUGCAGCUCUCGGAGAUUGGGGCCACCGGUUUCAGGGUCUUGAAGUUUCUGAAACCCUUUUGGAGAAAGUUGAGAACUUUGGCCUUGUCUUGCUCAUUGGUUUUUUUCUCUGGCCAAAUCAAGGUUGUGGAGCCCAUAGUUCCAGUUAUUUUUCAACACACAAAGGCAACCACUUCCAUAUAGAGAAACAGGCAGUGGGAUCCAUUAUUGUCGGACAGUCGGACUGUAAGUUCAUUUUCUUUCUAUAUCACCUUUGAUCGAUCUAACUUACCAUUUAAUUCACUUUGUUCACAGUAGACUUGAAACAAUAUUUUGAUUAUGCAGAUAGAUUUUCUGUAGACCCCAAUGGUGGUAUUCCUAAUAAUCAUCAACCGAAUGGCCCUUCUGAAGUAUGCGAACCAACAUAGAGUCCUCUACGUUAUGGAAUUUGUGAUGAUUGUAUCAACCACCACCUUUCAAGUGGCCAUGCUGGUCAUAGUAAUGGGGUUUCAGUUCCAGCUGGAAACCUGGGAAUUCCUAGCGCUGAUGUUAAUGCCAUUCCCAGUGAUUUCAUAAUUCCUCCUGCCGGUUUUGAUGGUGUACAGAAUGACAUAAGAAUGCCAACGGCCACCUAUACAAAUGAGCAGGAAAUCAUCGUCGUGAGUGCUACAUCCAUGUAGGAUAGAGACAGGUUUUGGAGGAUGCGUGAGUGCUACAUCCAUGGAAAUACUACUAAGUAUCUGCGAGUUCCUGAUGGGGUAGUUCCUAGAGUCGUUGCCCUCGUAUAUCAGGUGAUUGAGCAGUAAAGAGAACUAGAUGAUUUGGUAUAUAUUUUCAGAUUAUGUGGGUUUAAGUUGUAGAGUUGAAGUUUGAUGUAAUGUAAUCUGCUACUUAUACAUUUUCAAAUAUUGUCAUGCAUUUUGUAAAAGAAAUUAAUUAUAAUUUGAUUAAAUUGUUUCUCAUUCA